rnacentral:rRNA from 1 species
UAAGGAAUAUUGGUCAAUGGACGCAAGUCUGAACCAGCCAUGCCGCGUGGAGGAUGACGGUCCUCUGGAUUGUAAACUUCUUUUAUUUGGGAAGAAAACCUCUGAUUAUUCGGAGCUUGACGGUACCAGAUGAAUAAGCACCGGCUAACUCCGUGCCAGCAGCCGCGGUAAUACGGAGGGUGCAAGCGUUAUCCGGAUUCACUGGGUUUAAAGGGUGCGUAGGCGGAUAGGUAAGUUCGUGGUGAAAUCUCUCGACUUAAUCGGGAAACUGCCAUGGAUACUAUUUAUCUUGAAUGUUGUGGAGGUUAACGGAAUAUGUCAUGUAGCGGUGAAAUGCUUAGAUAUGACAUGGAACACCAAUUGCGAAGGCAGUUAACUACACAAAUAUUGACGCUGAUGCACGAAAGCGUGGGGAUCAAACA